UGGGGAAUCUUGCGCAAUGGGCGAAAGCCUGACGCAGCGACGCCGCGUGAGCGAUGAAGGCCUUCGGGUUGUAAAGCUCUGUGGGGAGGGAAGAAUAAGGGUUGGCUAAUAUCCAGCUCGAUGACGGUACCUCCUUAGCAAGCACCGGCUAACUCUGUGCCAGCAGCCGCGGUAAUACAGAGGGUGCAAACGUUGUUCGGAAUUACUGGGCGUAAAGCGCGUGCAGGCGGCCUUGCAAGUCGGACGUGAAAUCCCACGGCUCAACCGUGGAAGUGCAUUCGAAACUGCGAGGCUGGAGUCCUGGAGAGGAAAGUGGAAUACUCGGUGUAGAGGUGAAAUUCGUAGAUAUCGAGUGGAACACCGGUGGCGAAGGCGGCUUUCUGGACAGGUACUGACGCUGAGACGCGAAAGCGUGGGGAGCAAACAG
rnacentral:rRNA from 1 species